rnacentral:rRNA from 1 species
AUUGAACGCUGGCGGCAUGCCUUACACAUGCAAGUCGAACGGCAGCACGGGUGCUUGCACCUGGUGGCGAGUGGCGAACGGGUGAGUAAUACAUCGGAACAUGUCCUGUAGUGGGGGAUAGCCCGGCGAAAGCCGGAUUAAUACCGCAUACGAUCUACGGAUGAAAGCGGGGGACCUUCUGGCCUCGCGCUAUAGGGUUGGCCGAUGGCUGAUUAGCUAGUUGGCGGGGUAAAGGCCUACCAAGGCGACGAUCAGUAGCUGGUCUGAGAGGACGACCAGCCACACUGUGACUGAGACACGGCCCAGACUCCUACGGGAGGCAGCAGUGGGGAAUUUUGGACAAAGGGCGAAAGCCUGAUCCAGCAAUGCCGCGUGUGUGAAGAAGGCCUUCGGGUUGUAAAGCACUUUUGUCCGGAAAGAAAUCCUUGGCCCUAAUACGGUCGGGGGAUGACGGUACCGGAAGAAUAAGCACCGGCUAACUACGUG